GUAGGUGGCAAGCGUUGUCCGGAAUUAUUGGGCGUAAAGCGCGCGCAGGCGGGGUACCGUUUAAGUCUGAUGUGAAAGCCCACGGGCUCAACCGUGGAGGGUCAUUGGAAACUGGGGGACUUGAGUACAGAAGAGGAAAGCGGAAUUCCAAGUGUAGCGGUGAAAUGCGUAGAGAUUUGGAGGAACACCAGUGGCGAAGGCGGCUUUCUGGUCUGUAACUGACGCUGAGGCGCGAAAGCGUGGGGAGCAAACAGGAUUAGAUACCCUGGUAGUCCACGCCGUUAAACGAUGAGUGCUAAGUGUUAGGGGGUUUCCGCCCCUUAGUGCUGCAGCUAACGCAUUAAGCACUCCGCCUGGGGAGUACGGCCGCAAAGGCUG
rnacentral:rRNA from 1 species